UAAACGACUCUCGGCAACGGAUAUCUCGGCUCACGCAUCGAUGAAGAACGUAGCAAAAUGCGAUACUUGGUGUGAAUUGCAGAAUCCCGUGAACCAUCGAGUUUUUGAACGCAAGUUGCGCCCGAAGCCUUCUGUUUAAGGGCACGUCUGCCUGGGCGUCAUGC
rnacentral:rRNA from 1 species